GGGCCUUCUAGAACAAUAAUCUCAUAAGCAUUGGUGGCAGACGUAGGAAUGCAGAAACCAAAAGCUUCAUCAUCAUUUAACAACCUUCAUGUUGAUGGGAAGUGAUGAGAAAGUGAAACUUUGAUACACUUAGAGAAGGUGAUGAAGAAGAGGUGCCAUUUUGCUUUUUUCGCCAGCUUGCUUGCCUUUUUUUUUUUUUUUUUUUUUUUUGUGAUGGAGUUUUGCUCUUGGUUUCCAGGCUGGAGUGCAAUGUCACAAUCUCAGCUCACUGCAACCUCUGCCUCCUAGGUUCAAGUGAUUCUCCUGCCUCAGCCUCCCGAGUAGCUGGGAUUACAGGCAUGCGCCACCACGCCAGGGUAAUUUUGUAUUUUUAGUAGAGACAGGGUUUCUCCAUGUUGGUCAGGCUGGUCUCGAACUCCCAACCUCAGGUGAUCUGCCCGCCUUGGCCUUCCAAAGUGCUGGGAUUACAGGCGUGAGCCACCGUGAAUGGAAAUGGACUUUGAAUUCACAAAUCCAGAAAACUCUUUAAAGUGGGUAUGUUGAACUCCUAAUUGAUUUUUAUUAGUAUGAUUGGGGCAAAAUUUGUUUUUUUCUUUCUGAUUGUGUAUUAUUAAAUAGCAAAUGAAAGCAAAUAAAAAAUGUGUAUUAACUCAGUAUUUAAAAAUAUAUUAAUAUCACUUUAUAAUUUUAAAUAAUUUGGUAAUGUUUUAGCUAUAAUAAUACAUAAGAUGUUCAAUUGCAAUUCCUAGUGUUCAAAUCUCAAGUUUUCAGUUGCUUCCACUUAAGCUUUUAAAUAUGCUUUUUAAAAAAAUUUCUGAUUUUUGUUUAAAGUUUAAACUUAAAAGACAGCAACAAAACCAAGAUAAAAACAAUACAUUUUAUUUACAAAAGGGUGGGGACACAGCCAAACCAUAUCAGUGAUCAAAAAGGAAAAAAAAUUACAGUAUCUAUAUGUGCUGUAUGUUUCUGAGAGAAUCUAGUAAAGACAGCAUAGAAAGGGAUAUAAUCAAGAAAAGGACUUAAAAGAUUUCUGUAAAUAGAACAAU
rnacentral:lncRNA from 1 species